UCUCCUCAGCUGAGCUGCCAGCUAGCAGCAAUCCUAAGAAAUAAACUGCUUGGCCGGAGUCCUCCUGUGUUUUCUGUGGCUAUUCCCUGCCCGGCUUUUAUCUAACAUAUGGUGCUGAACCCAGGAAGAGGAAUGACUGGGUUACUUAUGACCUGGUUCCCUCUUGCUGAACCAUGCUGCUGACCAUGCACUCUUGCAACCGGCAUAAGCUCCCACCACUCACCACAUCAGGCCCGAGAUUAUGAGUCCAUCUGCAUUCCUCACCCUCUGACAGAGUUUAGGCUCAAAAGUGACGGCACCAAUGGACUGUGGUCUGAAACCUCUGAAAUCAUGAGCCAAAACAACCUUCCUUCCUUAUAAAAUUGCUAAAGUAUCAGCAUUGUGGGACCACUGAUUAAUCCUAGACAUUGGAAUGCUUGACUGACCUCCUCCUAGCACUUUGCUGCCAUCCCCCUGCUUGACCACCCCUGCCCUGCUCUGUCAAUUGCUCAACCACUUCACCCAAGAAAGAAGAAUGAUGGAAUCAGGUAACUCGUAAUUUCCACUUUAAAAAGAAGAGGAUGAGGGCUGGGGACAAGACUUGGUUGUAAAAUGCCUGUUGCACAAGCAUGAAGACCUGAGUUUGAGCCACCAGAACCUGUAUUAAAAAGAUGUGUGUGAAGGCCGGGUGUGGUGGCGCACGCUUUUAAUCCCAGCACUUGGGAGGC